GUUAUUUUAAUCAAUUAGUAAUUCGGUUCUUUCCAGAACACUCAUAUGUGGCAUGAAUAGAUUGGGAAAUUCCGUAGAUACGAAAUACUGAGAACAGUCGGUAGGGUACUAGCAUUGCAAGUAUAUCAUAUUCUGAUUGUAUUCAUUCGACAGCAUACCUUCGCUGAGAUCUAUCGUGAACGUUGUUCAAGAUGGCCGAUUACCAACUCAACUCAAAGGACAACAGUCGACGCACUGCUAUUAAUAGACUUCAAGAAAGUGCAGCAGAAUUCAGGAGUGGUUCACGCCGUCAUGAAGUAAGAUGUCGGAAACUUAUCAACAAUCACGAAGUCGAAGCUGAUAUUAGAAGAGCACUGUUGAAUGUAUAUACGAUACCAAGAAACAAUACAGUACGUGUACAUCCACUGCCAACUUAUUGACGCUGUUCCAAUUACAUAUGAACACUGAUGAUAUAUAUUGGACCACUUCUCUCAAAUCCAUUGACUACUAAUCUAAUAACUAUCCAGUGCUGGUAAUGAACUUUUUGUGACAGACAGUUUUUGUAAUGUCAAUGUGAACAACUUUUAGUGUGGAGAUUCCAAUGCAGCUUCCCUUGUCGAAGCGACUAGCGGCGUGUUACUGACUGUACAUAUUUCAAUCGUGCCCACAAGUAAAAUGUGUUGUUCUAUGUACGUUGUUGCUGGACCAACCUUAAUUAUUAAAACUAUGUGCACAAGAAAUACAA